AAUUCACACUUUGGGAAGAGCUGAACUUAAGUACUUUGUCAAAAUGCAUGAUUCAAAGUUUUGUAGUGCUUUCUUGAAAUAUAUUCUAUCAUUAUUAUCAAAUACUCUGAAGCAGAACUCAAGUUGAUUUAUAUAAUUCCUUACACCAUAAGCUAUAAUGGAAGCAAAUAUUUUGAAUCCUCAUAUGAACCAAGAGUCAUAAGGGUUAAAUAACAACCUAUGAAGGGCAGAAAUAGAAUUUUUAUCCAGAUUUUUGACUAAGAAUGAUAUAUUUUUUACCACCAUACUGCAGCUUCUUUGUUCUGAUUUUAGGGCCAUAUUUCUUACAAUAUUUCUUUAAAUGGUUAUGAAAAAAAUGAGUACCAAGUACCAAAAUCAGCACCACAAGCCUACUGUAGGCUCAGGCU
rnacentral:lncRNA from 1 species